GCGGAUUUAGCUCAGUUGGGAGAGCGCCAGACUGAAGUUAUCUGGAGGUCCUGUGUUCGAUCCACAGAAUUCGCA
rnacentral:tRNA from 2 species